GGCGUAGGUGGUUUGUUAAGUCGGAUGUGAAAUCCCGGGGCUCAACCUCGGAACUGCAUCCGAUACUGGCCGACUAGAGUACGAGAGAGGGAGGUAGAAUUCCACGUGUAGCGGUGAAAUGCGUAGAUAUGUGGAGGAAUACCGGUGGCGAAGGCGGCCUCCUGGCUCGAUACUGACGCUGAGGUGCGAAAGCGUGGGGAGCAAACA
rnacentral:rRNA from 1 species